rnacentral:misc_RNA from 1 species
AUGAAUUUGGGUUUCCAUAUUCUUACACCUGUGCACCCUUUGUAGGCCAUUCAUUUGGUCUAUGUUUUAAUUCUAACAACUCUAAAUAAAAUGUGAAUGGCAAUGAUUAAAUUAUUA